CUCCCAUCCAAAAAAACCACCCCACCCCACCCGCUGCCCCGAUCCCCACCUUGACCUCGCUCGAUCCCCUCCCUCGAGUGCCGCCACCCUCGCUGGAUCUCGCCGCCAUGCACGCCUCCUCCCGCCGGCCAACCUACCCAAGGCGCCGCCGCCCCCCGACCUACCAGCGCGGGGUCGCUGGGCGCCGCCCACGCCACCGGGAACCUGCUGCCGCACUUCCGCCAUGGCCGCACGCUCCUCCGCGGCCCAAUCGUCGCCUCCGCCAGGGAUCCUCGAGCACCAUCAUCCUGGCAUGCAGAUCAUGGCCGCCUCCCCACGCAGUCCCCUUCUUGCUGCCGACGUGAAUCCUGUCAACCCCUUCCUCUUCUCCUUCUCUUCCUCCAGUGAUCUUUGCUGGAUUCUGCCGCCGUCAACACCAGGCAUCGGAACCCCGUCCCUGCACUCCAUCGCCGCGCCCUGUCUUCUUCUCGCUGCGGCUGCUCCACAUCGCGUCCGCCCGCCGUCGCGACGCCCCCAACUCGUCUGCUUUCCCCAACCCCUGCUGGUUGACCUUCUCACAAAGGCCACCUCGACCUUCUCGAGGAAGGUUACUUCCGAGGAUCCGGCUCGCAAGGUGCACACCAUCUCGUCCUAGCUGCUUGUGUGUGAAGAUCCGCCGGCCUGAAGAUGCAAGAGACCUAUCUGCCCAGCAAAAUGCUGCACUUUUGGUGCAAUACGGUCAAGAUGAACUCAACAAUCUCUGAGGCGAUGGCACAACCGGAAAGUAUGAGGAGUGGGACCGUGUGUAUCGCUAUGACUACUACAACGACCUCGGUGAGCCAGACAAGGGCCAUCCGCGCCCGGUUCUCGGCGGCACCCAUGAACUCCCCUAUCCCCGUCGUUGCAGAACUGGCCAACCCCCAUCAAAAACAGACCCUAGAUCGGAGAGCAGAAUUCCUCAGUACAAGAUACAGGAGGCCCUCAACAUCACUGUUCCGCGUGAUGGUAUUUAUGCAUGUUCCUAGUUGCUACGGCAAUGCUGGAUUUAAUCAUCCUAGGAGAGAAGAAGCAAAAAGACAAUCAAAGUGUGAGAGAGAACACGUACAAUGAUGAGAGGACAAAAAAUGUGUGGUGGUGAAUAGCUCCACUGCAUUGCCAUUUGGCCCCAUUUUGCCCAUUUAGCCAGUGUCCUUUUCAAAGUGUUCAUCUUUAAAGAUAAUGGAUCCAAUUUCUUUAGUA